rnacentral:tRNA from 1 species
UCACUGAUACCUGAGUUGGUAAAGAACUUGCCUGCAAUGCAGGAGACCCCAGUUUGAUUCCUGGGUCAGGAA